GGGGUUGUGGCUCAGUGGCAGAGCACUUGCCUAGCAUGCAUGAGGCACUGGGUUCAAUUCUCAGCACCACA
rnacentral:tRNA from 1 species